UACGUAGGGUGCGAGCGUUAAUCGGAAUUACUGGGCGUAAAGCGUGCGCAGGCGGUUUUGCAAGCCGGAUGUGAAAUCCCCGGGCUUAACCUGGGAAUGGCAUUUGGGACUGCAAGGCUGGAGUGCGGCAGAGGAGACUGGAAUUCCCGGUGUAGCAGUGAAAUACGUAGAUAUCGGGAGGAAUACCGAUGGCGAAGGCAGGUCUCUGGGCUGACACUGACGCUCAUGCACGAAAGCGUGGGGAGCAAACAGG
rnacentral:rRNA from 1 species